GAUGAACGCUGGCGGCGUGCCUAAUACAUGCAAGUCGAGCGAACAGACGAGGAGCUUGCUCCUCUGACGUUAGCGGCGGACGGGUGAGUAACACGUGGAUAACCUACCUAUAAGACUGGGAUAACUUCGGGAAACCGGAGCUAAUACCGGAUAAUAUAUUGAACCGCAUGGUUCAAUAGUGAAAGACGGUUUUGCUGUCACUUAUAGAUGGAUCCGCGCCGCAUUAGCUAGUUGGUAAGGUAACGGCUUACCAAGGCAACGAUGCGUAGCCGACCUGAGAGGGUGAUCGGCCACACUGGAACUGAGACACGGUCCAGACUCAGACGGGAGGCAGCAGUAGGGAAUCUUCCGAAAUGGGCGAAAGCCUGACGGAGCAACGCCGCGUGAGUGAUGAAGGUCUUCGGAUCGUAAAACUCUGUUAUUAGGGAAGAACAAAUGUGUAAGUAACUAUGCACGUCUUGACGGUACCUAAUCAGAAAGCCACGGCUAACUACGUG
rnacentral:rRNA from 1 species